rnacentral:rRNA from 1 species
GACGAACGCUUGCGGCGUGCUUAACACAUGCAAGUCGAACGGAAAGGCCCUGCUUUUGUGGGGUGCUCGAGUGGCGAACGGGUGAGUAACACGUGAGUAACCUGCCCUUGACUUUGGGAUAACUUCAGGAAACUGGGGCUAAUACCGGAUAGGAGCUCCUGCUGCAUGGUGGGGGUUGGAAAGUUUCGGCGGUUGGGGAUGGACUCGCGGCUUAUCAGCUUGUUGGUGGGGUAGUGGCUUACCAAGGCUUUGACGUGUAGCCGGCCUGAGAGGGUGACCGGCCACAUUGGGACUGAGAUACGGCCCAGACUCCUACGGGAGGCAGCAGUGGGGAAUAUUGCACAAUGGGCGGAAGCCUGAUGCAGCAACGCCGCGUGCGGGAUGACGGCCUUCGGGUUGUAAACCGCUUUCGCCUGUGACGAAGCGUGAGUGACGGUAAUGGGUAAAGAAGCACCGGCUAACUACGUGCCAGCAGCCGCGGUGAUACGUAGGGUGCGAGCGUUGUCCGGAUUUAUUGGGCGUAAAGGGCUCGUAGGUGGUUGAUCGCGUCGGAAGUGUAAUCUUGGGGCUUAACCCUGAGCGUGCUUUCGAUACGGGUUGACUUGAGGAAGGUAGGGGAGAAUGGAAUUCCUGGUGGAGCGGUGGAAUGCGCAGAUAUCAGGAGGAACACCAGUGGCGAAGGCGGUUCUCUGGGCCUUUCCUGACGCUGAGGAGCGAAAGCGUGGGGAGCGAACAGGCUUAGAUACCCUGGUAGUCCACGCUGUAAACGGUGGGUACUAGGUGUGGGGUCCAUUCCACGGGUUCCGUGCCGUAGCUAACGCUUUAAGUACCCCGCCUGGGGAGUACGGCCGCAAGGCUAAAACUCAAAGGAAUUGACGGGGCCCCGCACAAGCGGCGGAGCAUGCGGAUUAAUUCGAUGCAACGCGUAGAACCUUACCUGGGUUUGACAUGGAUCGGGAGUGCUCAGAGAUGGGUGUGCCUCUUUUGGGGUCGGUUCACAGGUGGUGCAUGGCUGUCGUCAGCUCGUGUCGUGAGAUGUUGGGUUAAGUCCCGCAACGAGCGCAACCCUUGUUCACUGUUGCCAGCACGUUAUGGUGGGGACUCAGUGGAGACCGCCGGGGUCAACUCGGAGGAAGGUGGGGAUGACGUCAAGUCAUCAUGCCCCUUAAGUCCAGGGCUUCACGCAUGCUACAAUGGCUGGUACAGAGAGUGGCGAGCCUGUGAGGGUGAGCGAAUCUCGGAAAGCCGGUCUCAGUUCGGAUUGGGGUCUGCAACUCGACCUCAUGAAGUCGGAGUCGCUAGUAAUCGCAGAUCAGCAACGCUGCGGCGAAUACGUUCCCGGG